UAUAGCCGCCGCCACAGUCUCCCCCAUCUCGCGAACGACAGGAGGAUGUACGCUCCCCGUUCAUGAUCUCUCGCCAGCGACGCCCUAACGUCACCGUAGCGCGUGACACAGGGAUUCGUCGCUGCCGCCCGCAGCUAAUUUGCCCCUGGCGUCGAGGAGGGGGUCAGCAAGAGCUCAUGUCCUCCCGGUGCUGCCGCUGCUGGGCUCGUCUCGUCAGGAGGACACGGUGUCGAUGCCGCCGCCGGCGACGCCUCGUUCUUCUUGAGGUCAAUCGUGAGGGACUCCUGAUUUUUGAACAUGUGUGUUUCUUCUUGUGUUGCAGCCUGCAGGUCGUGCAGGUCGGGUGUGCUGCAGCCUGCGAGAUCCGAGGCGUGACGACAUCGGUGAUUCUGUUCACCGUGGCCCAAGUUUAAGCCAGAUCUGUGACGGAGGCAUGGCGCAGGAAACCUACGCCGCAUGGAGGCUACGGAGAUCCGUGGGAGGCUAUUGCUAUCGCUUUCAGUGGCGCAGCGGAUGGCCGCUUUCAGUAACGCCUCGCAGAUGUUGCUCCAAAGAAGAAAGGAGAAGUUAACCAAAGUUGACCAAUAUUCAGUACCUUUUUUUUGCGAAUAGUACUAAUAACAUUACCUGCAAGUGCAAGCAAGGUGAACCACCGGUGCUUUGGCAAAAGGAAAGCAACACGAUGCCAAAAGAUUGUAGAAUUACCAUUGCAUCACCCAUCUUCUGAAACAUACAUGUCCCCUGUAUCCUGCACUCCACUCCGUUCCUGUGAGUUUCUUUUGUUCUGAAACAUACAUGUUCUCUGUGACUUUUCUUGCAGAUCCGCUGAUGAUAUGCUUGGGCGCCAGAUCUUCAUGAAUUGGUCAGUGAUUGUAUGAAUAUGAAUUUGUAGUCUGACUAAGUUCUUGUUGCUCAAUUAUAUGUGACCAUGUUGCAACUGUAUUUGCAUGUGACGUUGGUUUGGCCAAUAGACUUUUUUUUUAA